rnacentral:rRNA from 1 species
UACGGGAGGCAGCAGUGGGGAAUAUUGCACAAUGGGCGCAAGCCUGAUGCAGCCAUGCCGCGUGUAUGAAAAAGGCCUUCGGGUUGUAAAGUACUUUCAGUCGUGAGGAAGGUGUUAAGGUUAAUAACCUUAGCAAUUGACGUUAGCGACAGAAGAAGCACCGGCUAACUCCGUGCCAGCAGCCGCGGUAAUACGGAGGGUGCGAGCGUUAAUCGGAAUUACUGGGCGUAAAGGGCACGCAGGCGGUUAAUUAAGUUGGAUGUGAAAUCCCCGGGCUUAACCUGGGAAUGGCAUUCAAGACUGGUUAGCUAGAGUCUUGUAGAGGGGGUAGAAUUCCAUGUGUAGCGGUGAAAUGCGUAGAGAUGUGGAGGAAUCCGGUGGCGAAGGCGGCCCCUGGACAAAGACUGACGCUCAUGUGCGAAAGCGUGGGGAGCAAACGAGGGAUUAGAUAC